rnacentral:misc_RNA from 1 species
GAUGAAGAACGCAGCGAAAUGCGAUAAGUAAUGUGAAUUGCAGAAUUCAGUGAAUCAUCGAAUCUUUGAACGCACAUUGCGCCCCCUGGUAUUCCGGGGGGCAUGCCUGUCCGAGCGUCAUUACAACCCUCAAGCUCAGCUUGGUGUUGGGCCCCGCCGCCCCGGCGGGCCCUAAAGUCAGUGGCGGUGCCGUCCGGCUCCGAGCGUAGUAAUUCUUCUCGCUCUGGAGGUCCGGUCGUGUGCUCGCCAGCAACCCCCAAUUUUUUUCAGGUUGACCUCGGAUCAGGUAGGGAUACCCGCUGAACUUAAGCAUAUCAAUAAGCGAGGA